AUGAUAAGUAGUUUGGGAUCCAGAAGAGACCGAAGCAGAAGUCCUCCAGAAGGGCCUCCAUCAAAAAUCUUUAUCCGAACUAAAGACAAAACUCCACUUUUGACACAACCAACUCAGCAGCUUGAGACAAAGUUAGGUCCACCUGAGCUCCACAAAACAUUUGUGCCAAAGAUAGUGGUGCAGGAAGUUGGACAGGAAAAAACGACUUCUCCACCAAUGCCUUACACCUAUGCACAAGCUGUUAUUGGAAUGAGGACAAAGUCUCCACCAGAGACUGGCUAUAUGGAUACAACUACACACAGGCUACAGCACAGACAGGAACAAGGACUCAUACUGCAGCAGAAACAAAUUAAUCGACAGAUUGAGAAACAGCAGCAAAGACAAGAUGCAAAGCAUCAACAGCAGGUGUAUCAUGUGGAACCGCUGCCUUCAGAACCACAAGAAUGGCAACAGAAAGAGGACAAAGAAAAGGUGGAGCAGCAGCAGGUAGAAGUCCAUCAGUCUCAAGUCCAGCCACAUCUGUCGCAAACCGAUUCUGACAUGAAACAGAACCAGGAUUUCCAGGAGCAGGCUCUUCCUCAACGACUUGUGAAGAAACCACCCAUGAGCUCAGAGGAACUUCAAAGUAAAAAGGCUCGGGCCACAAAGAAUCGGCCCUGGCUUCAAAAACCCUCUUCAGGAGAACAUAACGCUCCAUCCUCAUGUCCAGAACAAGAUUCCACUCAAGACCUAGUCUGGACUACACAGACAUCUGUUGAGAUUGUUCAGCAAGGGAAAGAACAACAGAGACAAACACAGGAACCUCAUUUAGAUCAGCAGCACCAAGAACAAAUUCAACAUCGGCAACUGGAACGACAGCAGAAACAACAGACACAACAGACCAUUAAAAAACCUCUACAACCAGAUUCAGAGACUCACACUGUAACAGCUAAGCAUCACCAGGAAAGCAAGUCAGAACCUCAUACAACGGUUCAGUCUACAUCCCAGAAAGUGCUUCACACACAAGUGCAGUCCACACAAGUGUUGCACACAGAUGACCAACAAUCACUGACGAUCACGUCUCAGACCAGAGUGAGCCAGGGUCAGUUACAAAAACAAGCCCUUCCACAAACUUAUAGUCCAGUGAAAUCCCAAUCCUCGAAUCAGCCGCUGACACAAGUACUGCUUCAACCCCAGGGUCCAUCUCAGCCCCCAACAUGUGUCCCAUCUGAGCCUCAGCCAGGUAUGCAAUCACAGCUUCACCUCCUGGGUGUAGCUCAUGGGCCAGCUCAUGCUCAAGUCAGACUUUCUUCACCGAUGCAGGGUCCAUUGCAUGGCCAAAUUCAACCAUCUACGCCAUCUCACAUACAAUUCCAUAGUCCUCAAAAGGCAUGGGCCCCUGUCAGACCACCGUCCCCUAAGCCACCUACACAGACUCCACCUCCAAGCUACGCCCCGUCAGUGCCGCAGCCUCCCGGCCACGCUCCCUCAAUGCCCCAGCCUCCCGGCCACGCUCCUUCAGUGGCUCCGCCCCCCAGCCACGCCCCGUCAGUGCCGCAGCCUCCCGGCCACGCUCCGUCGAUGCCCCAGCCUCCCGGCCACGCUCCGUCAAUGCCCCAGACUCCCGGCCACGCUCCUUCAGUGGCUCCGCCCCCCAGCCACGCUCCCUCAAUGCCCCAGCCUCCCGGCCACGCUCCAUCAAUGCCCGAGCCUCCCGGCCACGCGCCGUCAAUGCCCCAGCCUCCCGGCCACGCGCCGUCAAUGCCCCAGCCUCCCGGCCACGCGCCGUCAAUGCUCCAGCCAAUGAUUCCUCAGCCUCAAACCCAACAUCAAAGACAUAUUCAGCCAAAGACCCAACAAAGUACUACUGACCAAAUUCAUACCCAGGAUUUAACUCUGGUGCAGCCCCACCCUCAGCCUAAGGCACAGACUGAAAUUCGUGUUCAGGCAACUCAGGCCCAAACUUUAACUCAACAUAUAACUCAUCCUCAACCUGCAGUCCUGCCCCCAGGCUGUCCUCAGACUCCCACACCCACCUUUGCACAGCCACCAUCAGAUCAGUCUCCAGGAUAUAUGUCCCAAAGCCAGCUACAGUCUUGGACUCAGGUCAGAGCCUCAUCACCAAUGUCUGCACACCUUCCAAAGGGUGUGGCACAACCUCAGCUUUUCCCCCAAGCUUACUCCCAGGCCUGUUCACCAUCCCAGCAGUGGACACCCAAACCAGACCCACCAAAUCAAGCCAUUGUCCAAGCAUAUCCUCAGCAAAUGAGCCAAGCUCCUCAGUCUUUUCUAUCUGGUCCGGCUCCACCUCAGUGGCCUCAAGCUGGGCCUCAGCAGGGACCUCAGAUAGGGUCUCCAGGAUAUCCUGUCGCGGGACCACCAUAUGUUCUGCCCCAGAUGCAGCCACAAACCCAAUCCUGGCCUCAGACACAACUCCAAAUAAGCCCCCCCAGUGUCAUGCAAACUCAAAUGAGAGCAUACAAUGUGGUUCACAUCCAGACUCAACAAGAUCAGGUUCAACAACAGACUUGGAAUCAGGCACCACCGCAACUUCAGCCCCACCCUUCUCCCCAGACUCGCCCUCAGCAGUAUCCACAGGUUCAACCUCAAAUCUUCCAUCCCUCUCAACCUCAAAUGCCUCUUCAACCACAUCCACAACAUGUACAGCCCGAGUACCAGUUAAAAGCAGAAUCUCAAACUCACUUCCAGAUACAAUCCUCCAUUCAAGCACAGUUCCACACCCAGCCUCAACUCAAUCUACAGUUCCAGCAACCUGUUCUACCAGCCAAACAUGAAGCCUCGGAGAUUCACUCACAAAGUCAAACAAAAGAAGAAUUGCCUCCACAACAACAAUCACCAGUUGUUCAGUCAUCUACUGAAAUUAAAAUUCAGCCUCCAACCCAACCUAAGGCUAAAUUACCACCUCAAUCCAAACGUGAACACAUGCCAGCACAAGCCACAGUCCAGUCACUGAGCAAGUCCAAUGUUGAAUCCAUCCAACAAAUGCAAAUCCAAACCGCAACACAGCACAAGACUCAAUCACCAGCAAAACCCAAAAUUCAGUCAACAACCCAACACAAGUUUCAGACAUUAUCUCAGUCACCACCAGAGCUGCAUCAGGCUCAGUCACAACUACUGCCCAAGGCUCAAACAACACAACAGUCCAAUGCUCAGUCACCCCUACAAGACAGACCACAGACCCAACUCCCUCUACAGUCAAAACCCCAAAGACAAUCUCCACCUGAACCCAAGCCUACACCUACACAAACCCUUCUUCCUCAGGUCAGUGUUCUUCCUCAGUCCCAGGCUGAGUCACCAGACUUUUGCGGCAUACCUCCGCCCCUGGCUCAGGUACCUCCUCAGGCCUACACAGAGGCUUAUGCCAAGGCCCAGGCUUUGGCACGGAAUGGCUUUGAGGAGGCCAAGCACUGUCUGCAGCAGCACAUCCUGGAAGCGAUCAGCGUCUUCAAGGAUAAACGUAUUUCACCAGACCAAGUUUCAGUGAAAGAGGUACGGAUAGCUUUGAUUUCUGUCAGUUUCUGUUUUUUUCACGUUUCUGUUUAG
rnacentral:lncRNA from 1 species